rnacentral:tRNA from 1 species
GGGAUUGUGGCUCAGAAGGAGAGCGCUCGCCUUGCAUGCGUGAGGCACUGGGUUCAAUCCUCAGCCUCA